AGUGAACGCUGGCGGUAGGCCUAACACAUGCAAGUCGAACGGCAGCACAGUAAGAGCCUGCUCUUACGGGUGGCGAGUGGCGGACGGGUGAGGAAUACAUCGGAAUCUACUUUUUCGUGGGGGAUAACGUAGGGAAACUUACGCUAAUACCGCAUACGACCUACGGGUGAAAGCAGGGGAUCUUCGGACCUUGCGCGAUUGAAUGAGCCGAUGUCGGAUUAGCUAGUUGGCGGGGUAAAGGCCCACCAAGGCGACGAUCCGUAGCUGGUCUGAGAGGAUGAUCAGCCACACUGGAACUGAGACACGGUCCAGACUCCUACGGGAGGCAGCAGUGGGGAAUAUUGGACAAUGGGCGCAGGCCUGAUCCAGCCAUACCGCGUGGGUGAAGAAGGCCUUCGGGUUGUAAAGCCCUUUUGUUGGGAAAGAAAAGCAGCAGGUUAAUACCCCGCUGUUCUGACGGUACCCAAAGAAUAAGCACCGGCUAACUUCGUG
rnacentral:rRNA from 1 species